AUGUUCAUAUUUACACAUGUUAAGUCGCUGAAAAUAAACGCAGUUGACAGUGAGAGGACGUUUCUUUUUGUGCUGAGUUUAGAUACAUUUUGGGUGAUUUUGGUCAGCUAAGAGAUGUCUGAAUGAGUGGUGGAAAUGUAUUUGUUUGUGUUGUCAUUCAGUUGGAACCGAGAUUGACGGGGAUGUGAGUAACAGUGAAGGUAAGUGGAGAUGAGUUCUCACCCUACCCGUAUAACACGGAGCUUAUAGUUGUGUCUUUCUCUGUGAAUAAGGCAGACAACUAUUGACACUGGUUGUUAGAAUUGAACUGAUAUUUUUAAAAGCUUCAGCUCUAACUGUAUUAGUGGGGGUUUUUACAUGCUGAAAGUGUAUAUUUUUGCUUGUGUGUUUAAGCUGUUGUGUGUUUGUGUGUGUGUGUAUAUACAGACGACACCAGUCGAAGGGGUGGGAACAGAAGACCGGCGGCUGAUAGAGGAGGAGCCCGCAGCAGGGUCAAAAAGCCAGCCAGCGAGGAUGAGGAUGAUGAAAAGGAGGCUCCCAGAAACCGCAGAGGAGCCAAUGAGAAGAAGGCCACUAAGUCACGUGACGGCGACGAUUACAGUGAGGAUAAUGCCCCCAAGAGGAGACGAGGAGGAGCAACAAACAAAAAGAAAGGAGGAAAGGCCCAGGACAGUGAUGGUGAGAAGGGGAACAAGGGAAAGAAGAGGAGACCAAAGUUAAGAAAGGAUACACCAAGGGGAAGGGCAAAGGAAAGGAGAAGGAAGAUGAGAAGGAAAAGAAGAAGAAAAAGAAGAGAGCAGCAGUCCAUCGUGGAUGAGCAGGAGAACCAGAAGGAUGAGAACAUCCACCUGAGGAGGUUCCUGCGUGUGCUGGCCAAUGUCAUGAUCAUCUGCUGCCUGGAGGGAAGUGGCUAGCUCAUCUUCUCUGUGGUGAAGAGGUUCCAGGAGUUUGCCAACAGGGACGAUCUGAGCUGGUACAAGAAAAACGAGUUGGAGCUCAUCAUGUCCCUGUUGGGCCUGGUGUGUCCUCCCCUGUUUGAGACAAUCGCUGAGCUGUAGGAGUACCACCCCCAGAUCACCCUCAAAUGGCAGCUGGGGCGCAUCUUUGCCCUCUUUCUGGGAAACCUCUACACCUUCCUAUUCACCCUAUUUGAUGAGGUCAAAAAUAAGGUGUCCAUUAGGAAUGCGUCCAUCUGGGCCCAGAAGGAAUACUAACUUCACCCUCCGCAACAACUACACGGAUGCCACCCCACCCCCCACGACCACUCUGAUGUCAUCAGGGGGCCAUGCUGGGAGACCGCCGUUGGCAUAGAGUUUGUGAAGCUGACCGUGUCAGACAUCCAGGUGACCUACCUGACCAUCCUGAUUGGUGACUUUGCGCGGGCUGUCAUUGUCAGGUUCCUCAACUACUGCUGGUGCUGGGACCUCAACGCCCCAUAUGGUUUGUAACUCCCUCUGUAGCCAUCGUAUGGCGAGUUUGACAUCAGUGGCAACAUUCUUGGUCUGGUCUUCAACCAAGGAAUGGUCUGGAUGGGUGUGUUCUAUGCUCCAGGGCUGGUAUUGAUAAACGUCCUGCGUCUCCUCUUGUCCAUGUACUACCAGUGCUGGGCCGUGAUGGCCACUAACGUGCCCCAUGAGAGGGUCCAAAUCCAACAACUUCUACAUGGGCCUCCUCCUCAUCCUCUUCCUCAGUCUACUGCCUGUGGUCUACACUAUCAUGACCCUGCUACCCUCCUUGGACUGUGGGCCAUUCAGGUAACAAACAUACACACAGGCUGUUGCUGUUUUUUCUUCAAACAAUACAAAACAUACACAUAAACCGACUGCAUACAGACGAACACAAACAUCAACGACAUCACACCUGCCCACACCCCCAUCUCCAGCCCCCACAUUACCCUCCGCCACAUGGCCUCAAACUGCACCAUUUUGUUUCUCUCCUUCCCCCAAGCACUUUCAACAUUUAGAUAAUAAAGCAUUUGACCUUUACAUUGUGUAAACAACGGAGAACUGGUUGAUUUCCAGUGUUUUUUUAAAUACCCAUCGGGUAUCUCACUGCACCCUCAUAUGCCAUGUCUUGAAAUAUGCAUACAAAGGAUCAAAAGUAAAGUUACAUUGUAAUAUUUCUGACAGCCGACUUUCUAACUCUGCCCAUAAGUUUUGAACUGUAUUGCAUUCCAAGAAGACAUGGAUUAUUCAGUCAUUGUUAGUUUUACACUUAAGACAUGACUCUACCAUUCUGCUUUAGAAUUUGUGAAUUUUGUCUCUUGUAUCAUAUAUUGUAUACAUUCGUUUAUUAAGCCUACAUUUUUGUUUAGUGUAAUUUUAUUAUUUAUGUUCCAACAUUCCCUUAAUUUGUGCCAAUACCAGUACUUUUAAAGUCUUGGCUCCAAUAGUUUAUAUUUUCUUCCUAAGAUAUUGUCAGUUGGAUAGGCUCUGUGCAAGGUUUUGGAUAUUUUACCUGUAAUAUGAAUAUCCUUUUUUAAAUUUGUACCCCAUUUUUCUCCCCAAUUUCGUGAUUACGAUCUUGUCUCAUCGCUGCAA